UACAUGCAAGUCGAGCGGACAGAUGGGAGCUUGCUCCCUGAUGUUAGCGGCGGACGGGUGAGUAACACGUGGGUAACCUGCCUGUAAGACUGGGAUAACUCCGGGAAACCGGGGCUAAUACCGGAUGGUUGUCUGAACCGCAUGGUUCAGACAUAAAAGGUGGCUUCGGCUACCACUUACAGAUGGACCCGCGGCGCAUUAGCUAGUUGGUGAGGUAACGGCUCACCAAGGCGACGAUGCGUAGCCGACCUGAGAGGGUGAUCGGCCACACUGGGACUGAGACACGGCCCAGACUCCUACGGGAGGCAGCAGUAGGGAAUCUUCCGCAAUGGACGAAAGUCUGACGGAGCAACGCCGCGUGAGUGAUGAAGGUUUUCGGAUCGUAAAGCUCUGUUGUUAGGGAAGAACAAGUGCCGUUCAAAUAGGGCGGCACCUUGACGGUACCUAACCAGAAAGCCACGGCUAACUACGUGCCAGCAGCCGCGGUAAUACGUAGGUGGCAAGCGUUGUCCGGAAUUAUUGGGCGUAAAGGGCUCGCAGGCGGUUUCUUAAGUCUGAUGUGAAAGCCCCCGGCUCAACCGGGGAGGGUCAUUGGAAACUGGGGAACUUGAGUGCAGAAGAGGAGAGUGGAAUUCCACGUGUAGCGGUGAAAUGCGUAGAGAUGUGGAGGAACACCANCGGCGAAGGCGACUCUCUUNNNNGUCACUGACUCUGAUGAGCGAAAGAGUGGGGAGNGAACAAANACUAUAUACCCUGCGUGGUCCUCCCCCCCAUCAAUAAGUGAUUG
rnacentral:rRNA from 1 species